AGAGUUUGAUCCUGGCUCAGGAUGAACGCUAGCUACAGGCUUAACACAUGCAAGUCGAGGGGCAGCAGGACGAUAGCUUGCUAUGUUGCUGGCGACCGGCGCACGGGUGAGUAACGCGUAUCCAACCUUCCCCUUAGUAGGGCAUAGCCCGGUGAAAAUCGGAUUAAUACCCUAUGUUGUGUCAUGAGGACAUCUGAAUAACACUAAAGAUUUAUCGCUAAGGGAUGGGGAUGCGUCCGAUUAGGUAGUCGGCGGGGUAACGGCCCACCGAGCCCUCGAUCGGUAGGGGUUCUGAGAGGAAGGUCCCCCACACUGGUACUGAGACACGGACCAGACUCCUACGGGAGGCAGCAGUGAGGAAUAUUGGUCAAUGGGCGUAAGCCUGAACCAGCCAAGUAAGCGUGCAGGAUGACGGCCCUAUGGGUUGUAAACUGCUUUUAUACGGGGAUAAAGUGAGGGACGUGUCCCUUAUUGUAGGUACCGUAUGAAUAAGGACCGGCUAAUUCCGUGCCAGCAGCCGC
rnacentral:rRNA from 1 species